CUGAUGCAGCGACGCCGCGUGAGGGAUGACGGCCUUCGGGUUGUAAACCUCUUUCAGCAGGGAAGAAGCGAAAGUGACGGUACCUGCAGAAGAAGCGCCGGCUAACUACGUGCCAGCAGCCGCGGUAAUACGUAGGGCGCAAGCGUUGUCCGGAAUUAUUGGGCGUAAAGAGCUCGUAGGCGGCUUGUCACGUCGGAUGUGAAAGCCCGAGGCUUAACCUCGGGUCUGCAUUCGAUACGGGCUAGCUAGAGUGUGGUAGGGGAGAUCGGAAUUCCUGGUGUAGCGGUGAAAUGCGCAGAUAUCAGGAGGAACACCGGUGGCGAAGGCGGAUCUCUGGGCCAUUACUGACGCUGAGGAGCGAAAGCGUGGGGAGCGAACAGGAUUAGAUACCCUGGUAGUCCACGCCGUAAACGUUGGGAACUAGGUGUUGGCGACAUUCCACGUCGUCGGUGCCGCAGCUAACGCAUUAAGUUCCCCGCCUGGGGAGUACGGCCGCAAGGCUAAAACUCAAAGGAAUUGACGGGGGCCCGCACAAGCGGCGGAGCAUGUGGCUUAAUUCGACGCAACGCGAAGAACCUUACCAAGGCUUGACAUAUACCGGAAAGCAUUAGAGAUAGUGCCCCCCUUGUGGUCGGUA
rnacentral:rRNA from 1 species